UGCUUCUCAUGCCUAGAGUGUAAGCAUUCCUCAUGUAACAUCUUGCCCAUUUCUCUUUUACUUUAUAGAUACUGUCCAACCAAAUCUGUGUAUCCACAUUGGUUCUUAUGGCAGUGAAAGCUUCUUCAAAGGCUUCCUCAUCCUCAUAUUUGUACACGCAAGCAUUGAAAUCAGCAAGUACAUUUGGGCCAUCCUCAUCUUUGUUCUUAGCAGGUAAAUGUUUGAUGGCAUUUUGCAUUAUGUGUAAAGUGCACAAUCCAUGCCAUGCUUCUGUAAAUACCACCUGAAUUGCAUUACCCAUUGCUACGUCUUGAUCAGUAAAGAUAGUUCUAGGUUGCUUUUUGUUAUGUAUGGAUAAGAAAGUGUUGAACAACCAUUUGAAGGAUUCAAAUGUCUCAUCGUAUAAAAGCGCGGCACCAAAAAAUGACCAUUUCUCUAAAAUGGUUGAAGCCAACAAAUACACCAAAGGGUCUGUACUCUUUAUUUGUCCCAAAUGUAGUAUCGAACGUAACAACAUCACCGAAAUGAGAAUAGUCAAUGAUCAUCUUUGCAUCGGCCCAGAAGAUAUUUGCUAUUUGUUCCUCACAAUCAUGUUGUACAUCAUAUUCAAAUGCAGGAUUCUCAUUUUUUUUUCUCGAAAGUACUUAAGCAUACUUCCAGCUUCACCAUACAUCAACUCCCUUUGACGCUUGGUUCGCAAAUAGUUCUUGUUAUCACGAGGUGUGUACGUCAGGUUUAUUGAUCCACCAACUUGCCGACUUGCCAACUCAUGGGCUGCUUUCGGUACAAUUCCCGAAUCAUCUGCAGUUUCAAUAUCAAAAGCUUGCAAGGUUGAUAUCUUUCGUUGUGAUGGCAUCAAGUGGCAUGUUCCAGGCAACUGCAAGACAUGGUUAUGAUCAGUGACUAACUCAUGUACUUCAUAAUUUCCCGUUUCUCGGUCGAUGGUGAUUCCUAUUCGAACCUUGCAACCAGUCCUGGUUUCUGCACGAGGACGCUUGGUAUUAUGAUCUCUUUUGUCUAUUCUUCUGUAGCCUUCAUUGGAACAAACGUAUCUCGCGGAAGUUAUUGCACCAUCAAGUUUGCUCUUAUUUUCAUAAUUUACCCUUACGUCAAAACCAAUAUGACCUCCAUAACAAGUCCAAAAGUUCCAAGCCUCUUUUGUGGAAUUAAAUUUCAUACCAAUUUGAGGCAUCCAACUAGGAAUCAUAUUAUUUGUCAUGUAAAGGCAUAUCUUAAUUUAUUUGUCUAGUCACACUAUAAGAAUAUGAUGACAUAGCCUGAGAAUUUAACAAAAUUGCGUGUACCUGUUCGAAUCUUUAUUGGAGUUGGUCAUACUCUCCAUCAAACCUUGUCUUCUCCUUUUUGUAAUCUGUGAUUGCAUAGCAAACUCAGCCUAGAGGAAAUCUCUUGCUACCUUGAGAACAUGAAUACAAUCAGUGCAUAUGUCACAUACCUUGAGAUUUAUCGACUUCCUUUUUGUUGCUAGGAGAAGGAAGGUAAAAGGGAGAUCAUCUACAUUAAUCUCCUGUCAGGUAAUGGAAAUCCCAAACAUUUCAUGAGCAAAGCACCUAUGGUACAACUUCCACGUACAGAUCUGACUAUAUUCAUGUAUUUUAUCUUGAGGUUGUCCAAAACAAUAGAGAUCACUUCUGCUAUAAUCACUUUUUUCCACUAACAUCAUCUAGAAGAUGUAGAAAUAAAUUUUACAUCUCAUCCGUUCUUUAUCACUUCUGAUAUUCUACUAGUUGUUCGGGUUGUUCGGAGGGUUCGACUCCUCUGCAAUUUCGCUACUGCUGAAUUUAUCAAAAUUGAUGGUACCUGUUUGAAUCUUCAUUGGAGUUGGUCAUAUGCUCCACUAGACCUUGCACAAAUUCAGUAUAGGAGUUGUCUUGUUGCCUUCAGAACAUGAACAGAAUCAGACCACAUGUUAGAUCCCUAGAGAUUGAUCCGCUUCUUUUUUGUUGCUAGGAGAAUGGCAAAGGGGAGAUCAACAACACCACUUACAAAUCAGCGACAGGAGGACGAUCAGAGAUAGACAAAAGGGAGAUCUCUAUGCCAACGUGUGUUCUGGUUACAAGGAGGACGAAGACGGGCGGCGCGAAGGCAUGGAGAUAUUUGGCGCCAACCUGCGUUCUGUUUAGCGCCAACUUGCCGUACGAGUUUUUUUAGGGGAUCUGCCGUAGGAGAUUUUGCAGCCAACAGUUCAGGUGUUUGUUGUCAUUUAUUAUAAAAGAAUUAAAGGAGGAAAUAAGAGCGGUCAGAUUGAAAUUAACGGUUGAUGUACACCGGUGCUGUAAUAGCUGCACUGCAGAGGAGCCGGACCCGCGACCGGCGCGUCGGUUCGGCCGGCGCGCUGGUUGGAAACGAUUCCCUUCGGUUAUGCAAUGGAAUAAAAGGAAAGAAAGAAAAGAUGCACGAUUUAAGGGUCGCAAAAGAUCCUUCUCUCCUGACGGCGUCUCUCUUCUCUUCUCUGUUUUCCUUUAGCCUGUUUUCCUUUAGCCUCGUGCGUGCGUUGUGUUUUUCAGAGAAAAGUUCAGGGGAGAAAGGGUAGAUCGCUGCUUGAAACCUAACACGCAGUGCUCCGGCCGAGCUCGCGCUCGUGCUUGGGUUGACCUCCGUGUCUCGCCUCCAGCUCUCUGGUGCCGCGGGAAGGGCGCCCCCGUAUAGAUCUGCUUCCUCGACGUCACGGAGGUCUCCAAGGCGCAGAUCAGCCUCGGCCCCGAGCUCUUCUUCCCCUGUUUCGCGAUCCAGAAAGCUCGCCGUGUG
rnacentral:lncRNA from 1 species